rnacentral:rRNA from 1 species
AUGCCUAAGACAUGCAAGUCGAACGAAGUCUUCGGACUUAGUGGCGCACGGGUGAGUAACAUGUGGGAAUCUACCUAAAGGUUCGGAAUAACUGCGGGAAACUGUAGCUAAUACCGGAUGUGUCCGCAAGGAGAAAGAUUUAUUGCCUUUAGAUGAGCCCGCACUAGAUUAGCUUGUUGGUGAGGUAACUGCUCCACCAAGGCUACGAUCUAUAGCUGAUUUGAGAGGAUGAUCAGCCACACUGGGACUGAGACACGGCCCAGACUCCUACGGGAGGCAGCAGUCGGGAAUAUUGGACAAUGGGGGAAACCCUGAUCCAGCAAUGCCGCGUGAGUGAAGAAGGCCUUCGGGUUGUAAAACUCUUUCAUCAAUGAAGAUAAUGACAUUAAUUGAAGAAGAAGCUCCGGCUAACUCCGUGCCAGCAGCCGCGGUAAUACGGAGGGGGCUAGCGUUGUUCGGAAUUACUGGGCGUAAAGCGUAUGUAGGCGGAUCAAAAAGUUAGAUGUGAAAUCCCUGGGCUUAACCUAGGAACUGCAUUUAAAACUAGUGAUCUAGAAUUUGGUAGGGGUUAGUAGAAUUUCCAGUGUAGAGGUGAAAUUCGUAGAUAUUGGAAAGAAUACCAGUGGCGAAGGCGACUAACUGGGCCAUUUUUGACGCUGAGAUACGAAAGCGUGGGUAGCAAACAGGAUUAGAUACCCUGGUAGUCCACGCAGUAAACGAUGAGUGCUAGUCGCUGGGUCAAUAGAUUCAGUGUCGAAGCUAACGCAUUAAGCACUCCGCCU